rnacentral:tRNA from 2 species
GGAGAGGUCGCAUAGUGGCCUAGUGCGCUCGCCUGGAAAGCGGGUAGGUGAAAGCCUCGCGGGUUCGAAUCCCGCCCUCUCCG